ACAGCUAUUAGAGAUAAUUGUUAGGAUUUUGUUAGAUUUAUAGAUUAAUUUUAGUUGAAUUAGGAUUUGUAUUUAAAUUUAUUGAAGAUAAAUUAAGAUUUAAAUAUAAAUUAAUGUAUGAAUUUAAUUAGAUUAGAAUAAAUAUUUAAAUAUAUUAAAGAUAAACGAAAUAUAGAUUUAAAUAUUUAUUAGAGUAGAAAUCCUAAAUAUACUAGAAUUUGGGUACGUUUUAUUGUAAACAUUAUAUAACCACCAUGUGGGGUGCUUUUGGAGAGAGAGUACGGCCCAAAAAGUUGAAACUCUUUGGUGGGUUGUACCACAGAGAGAGAGAGAGAGAGAGAGAGAGAGUUGGCUGGUUGCAUGCACCUAUUACACGGGUGCAUGUGAGAGAGGAAACGAGUUGUCUUUUAGAUUUAUAAAAGACGAGAGAAUGAUUCAGAAAGAGGGCUCGAAUUGUAGCUACUCUAUACAGAAGAGCAGUUAGGUGUAAUCUUCUCUUAUUUAGUGAAUCUUAUUUUACCCACAUAUUUUCUGUUUUGAUUUUUCUCUCUAUUAUGAUUAUAUUAGCUUUUGCUAAGGAGGCGGGUCUAUGGUAAAAACCCGAUUCGAUGCUUUUAUUACGGAAUCUCAACAAUCGGUACAGAAUCCACAGCAGUCGGUAUUGGAGCGGGUUGCGGAUUCACAAAAUCCGCAACCCGGGCAAGUACCGGAUUCCCAAUAAUUGGUAUCAAAGCUGAAGGUUACCGAUCUGCGGGAGAGAUCGACGAAGAUGGCCACAAAAUUCGAAAUCGAGAAGUUCGACGGCAAAAACAUUUUAGAUUAUGGCAGAUUAAAGUACGGGCGAUCCUCGUACAGCAAGAGUUGGAUGAGAAAUUGAACGGGAAGGAGGCGAAGCCGGUGGAGGUCACAGAUGCGGCAUGGACGAAGAUGGAGCGGAAGGAGCUGAGUACGCUUCAUCUAUUAUUAG
rnacentral:lncRNA from 1 species